UUAGAAUACGGAUGAUGAUUAGUCCUAAGU
rnacentral:piRNA from 1 species